rnacentral:rRNA from 1 species
AGAGUGAACGCUGGCGGUAGGCCUAACACGUGCAAGUCGAACGGCAGCACGGUAAGAGCUUGCUCUUAUGGGUGGCGAGUGGCGGACGGGUGAGGAAUACAUCGGAAUCUACCUUUUGGUGGGGGAUAACGUAGGGAAACUUACGCUAAUACCGCAUACGCCCUUCGGGGGAAAGCCGGGGACCAGCAAUGGCCUGGCGCUGAUAGAUGAGCCGAUGUCGGAUUAGCUAGUUGGUGAGGUAAUGGACUCGACCAAGGCGACGAUCCGUAGCUGGUCUGAGAGGAUGGAUCGAGCCACACUGGAACUGAGACACGGUCCAGACUACCGUACGGGAGGCAGCGAGGUACGGGGAAUAGUAGGACAAGUCGGG